UUUUGCAAACUAAGAAACUGUGUAGUUUUAUCACCUUUUCCAGAUUCACCCCCAUCCCCAAGAUUUUAAGAAACUACACAGUUUCUUAGUUUGCAAAA